UGGGGAAUAUUGGACAAUGGGGGGAACCCUGAUCCAGCGACGCCGCGUGAGUGAAGAAGUAUUUCGGUAUGUAAAGCUCUAUCAGCAGGGAAGAAAAUGACGGUACCUGACUAAGAAGCCCCGGCUAACUACGUGCCAGCAGCCGCGGUAAUACGUAGGGGGCAAGCGUUAUCCGGAUUUACUGGGUGUAAAGGGAGCGCAGACGGUUUUGCAAGUCUGAAGUGAAAGCCCGAGGCUUAACCUCGGAGUUGCUUUGGAAACUGUAUAACUAGAGUAUCGGAGAGGUAAGUGGAAUUCCUAGUGUAGCGGUGAAAUGCGUAGAUAUUAGGAGGAACACCGGUGGCGAAGGCGGCUUACUGGACGAAAACUGACGUUGAGGCUCGAAGGCGUGGGGAGCAAACAGG
rnacentral:rRNA from 1 species